rnacentral:rRNA from 1 species
CCCUUAGAUGUUCUGGGCCGCACGCGCGCUACACUGAUGAAUGCAACGAGCUCUACCCUUGACCGAAAGGCCCGGGUAAACUUGUGAAACUUCAUCGUGAUGGGGAAAGAUUAUUGCAAUUAUUAAUCUUCAACGAGGAAUUCCUAGUAAGCGCGAGUCAUCAGCUCGCGUUGAUUACGUCCCUGCCCUUUGUACACACCGCCCGUCGCUCCUACCGAUUGAAUGGUCCGGUGAAAUCUUCGGAUUGCUGACCAAGAUCCAGCAAUGGAGCUUGGUUGCGAGAAGUUGAUUAAACCUUAUUAUUUAGAGGAAGGAGAAGUCGUAACA